AGAGGGAUAGCUGGGUCAAAUGGUGGUUCUAUCCCAAGUUUUCUGAGGAAUAUCCAUACUGCUUUCCAUAUUGGCUGCAUCAUUUUGCAGUCCCACCAGCAAU
rnacentral:pre_miRNA from 1 species